GAUAAACGCUGGCGGCAGGCCUAACACAUGCAAGUCGAGCGGCAGCACUUCGGGUGGCGAGCGGCGAACGGGUGAGUAAUACAUGGGAAGCUGCCCAGUAGUGGGGGAUAACUUCGGGCAACUGGAGGUAAUACCGCAUACGUCCUACGGGAGAAAGCAGGGGAUCGCAAGACCUUGCGCUAUUGGAGGAGCCCAUGUCCGAUUAGCUAGUUGGUGAGGUAAAGGCUCACCAAGGCAACGAUCGGUAACUGGUCUGAGAGGAUGGUCAGUCACACUGGAACUGAGUCACGGUCCAGACUCCUACGGGAAGCAGCAGUGGGGAAUAGUGGACAAUGGGUGCAACCCUGAUCCAGCCAUGCCGCGUGUGAAGAAGGCCUUCGGGUUGUAAUGCACUUUAAGCAGGGAGGAAGGCUCGUACGUUAAUACCGUGCGGAGUGACGUUACCUGCAGAAUAAGCACCGGCAAACUCCGUGCCAGCCGCCGCUGUAA
rnacentral:rRNA from 1 species